AAUAAGUAAAUGAGACCUCAUAAAAAUUAAAAAUUUUAUUCAUCAAAAGACUUUACCAAACAAGUCAUUAUGCUGAGUGAAACAAGUCAAUCAGAAAGGGCAAACACUGUAUGAGGCCACUAUUAUAAAACACAUGAAAAGGUUUCCGCACAAGAAGAAACAAUCUUUGAUGGUUACGAGGGAGGGGAUGGGGAGGAGGGAAAAACACUGACUAGACAAUAGAUAAGUGGUAGCUUUGAUGAAGGGUAAGAGAGUACACAAUACUGAGGAGGCCCGCACAAGUUGACCACGGCAAAGUCAUAGAAGCCUCACAGGCACAUCCAAAAAAAAAGUAAACUGACAAGAUACAAACUGGGAGACUAUCUUCUGAAACCAUGUGUCUGACAAGUACCUAACAACCAAUACAUAUAUAAAACUUCAACAACUUCACAACAAAAAGACAAAUAACCCAAUCAUAAAAUGGGAGAAGGACUUGAAUAGACAUUUCACCAAAGAGGACAUUCAAAUGGCCACCAAAAACAUGAAAAAACAUUCAGCAUCAUUAGCCAUCAAAGAGAUGCAAAUCAAAACCAGAAUGAGAUACCAUUUUACUCCCACUACAGCUAAGAAAGAAAACAACAAAUGUUGGUGAGGAUGUGAGGAAGUUGGAACCCUUAUCCAUUGCUGGCAGAAAUGCAAAAUGGUACAGCCAUUGUGGAAAACAGUGUGGCAGUUCCUCAAAAAACUAAAAAUAGAACUACCAUAUGACCCAGCAAUUCCACUCCUAGGUAUACACCCAAAAGACUUUAAAGCAGAGACUCAAAAAGAGACUUAUACUCCAAUGUUCACUGCAGCUCUAUUCACAAUAGCCCAAAGCGGGAAAUGACUUAAAUGUUCUUCAGCAGAUGAACGGAUAGACAAAAUGUGGUACCUAUACACAAUGGAAUACUACUCAGCCAGUAGGAGAAAUGAAGUCUUGACAAAUGCUACAAUAUGGGUGGAGCCGGAAGACAUUAUGCUGAGUGAAGCCCCACAGUGAGCAAGAGCCCCGGUGUCACAACCAUCAAGCACCUGGCUGCUAACUGAAAGGUUGGCUGUUCAAACCCACCAGCGGCUCUGCAGGAGAAAAGACCUGGUGAUCUGCUCCCUUAGAGAUUACAGCCUAGGGAGCUCUGGGGGACAGUUCUACUCUGCAAUACAUGGGGUCACCAUUAGGCAAGAAUGAUUCACCACUACCCACCCACAACCACCUCACUGAGCAGCCGUGGACGGAAAGAAGCCCCGCGUCCUGAAAGAGGAAGCUGUGACGGUCACCACUCAUUAGUUUCCAUGAGAACUUGUGCAACCCACAAAGGAGGCACUCAGUGUGCUUUCUGUG